ensembl:snoRNA
UUGGAUGGGCGGUGCUCCUUCUCUUUAAAGAACACGGAUUUAUCCAGACCAUGCGGCAUGAAUGAAAUGAGUUUUCAGGGCUGACAACCUCUCAGUUAAGGUUUUGCGGCAGUAUAUUUCUAAUACAAUA